ACUUCCUUCGCCGUCUCUCUCUCUCUUCUCAGUAGCCCCAGCACCAACCGUCUCUCUUCUCAGCAGCCCUAGGACCAACCGUCUCUCUCUCCUCUCUUUUUCUCUCACUUUGUCUCUCUUUUUUUCCGACCUGCCCCCAUCACCGUCGAUUGUUGUCGCCAGCUCCCCACCCGCCCCACCACUAAUGCGGUGAGGCCCAGUAGUACAUAGGUCCCGCCUAGACCGUGGGAUGCACCACCACCACACGAUAGGCCCCACCUAGACUGUGGGAUGCUACCAGCGCCACUACCGUCCCAAAGGCAGUAUAUCAACUUCCAAACGCAAGUUCACACUAUAAUGAAAGGACACUAUCCACAUCCCUAGGGUACAUUUUGCAGAUCUCACAGGAGCGCCAAUUAUUCUGGUUUAAUAUUUAAGGUUGUCGUACCGGUGGGACAACGACGAAGACUCCAUAUUCAAGGUCGUCAAGUCGCGGCGGGGAAGUUCCUAUG